GGGCGCGGCCGCGGUGACCGCGGUGACCGCCAGCCUUCUCCUGCAAAUAGAGGCGGCGGAUUCAGAGGACGCCCUCGACAGCAACAGCAACAGCAGGUACGCGAGCAGCAGCAUGACUAUCCUGAGUGCCAGAUAUGCUAUAGACAUCAUCCAGAAGGUGCACGUGUCUGCUGGUGGCGCUAUGAAGAGAAUGAUCAAGAAGAGAAGGAGGCGCAUGCUGUCUCCUAUGGCGUGGACACUAAUUGGUACGCAGACAGUGCAGCAACAAAUCACAUCACAGGUGAACUUGACAAGCUAACAGUACGGGAGAAGUACAACGGAGGCGACCAAAUUCGUAAGGCAAGCGGUUCU
rnacentral:rRNA from 1 species